UACGUAGGGUGCAAGCGUUGUCCGGAAUUAUUGGGCGUAAAGAGCUCGUAGGCGGUUUGUCGCGUCUGCUGUGAAAUCUGGGGGCUCAACCUCCAGCCUGCAGUGGGUACGGGCAGACUAGAGUGCGGUAGGGGAGAUUGGAAUUCCUGGUGUAGCGGUGGAAUGCGCAGAUAUCAGGAGGAACACCGAUGGCGAAGGCAGAUCUCUGGGCCGUAACUGACGCUGAGGAGCGAAAGCAUGGGGAGCGAACAGG
rnacentral:rRNA from 1 species